rnacentral:lncRNA from 1 species
CUGAAACCAGUCUUAGUUGUGCUAACUUUCUUUCUAGUCCUUUACAAUUCUUUUUAGUCACUGACAUGCCCUGGCAUGACACCUAAUAAAAUGAAUUUGGGUUCCAUUUAUUAUCCAUUUAUUAUCCAUAUUAUCCAUUUAGGAAAUACUGUAAGUCAGAACGAUGAUAAAGACCAGAGAGAGAUUUCUCUACCUCUUGAAGUUUUCACAACCUGAAGUUGAGGAGAGCACGUUCUGCUGCAUUGUCCCGCUGACAUGUGACAUCUCCUCUAUGACUAAGUCUAGAGAAGUUCCCAGAAGUGUCCUGCUAGCCUUCCAGAAACAUGAAUUGAUGCCCUUUCAGCGAGUCGGUAUGUUUAAGUAGGUUUAGCGUAUGUGUUAAAAAAAAAAAUAGGUACAUUAGACAUUAAACAUACUUAAUGCCUAGAAUAUAGGAGCCUCGAAAUUACCUCAAGCCAGGCAGUAUUUUUCUCUUUUUACAAAUGUGUUUGCUCCUUUUGCUUCUUUUUAGAAUGGAGUCCGCAAUUGGCUG